GUAAUGUUUUUUUUUUGUUGUUGUUUUUUUUUUUACCAUGGAAAGGAUCCUGUUAUUAUCCCCUACUGUUGUCUUCCAUAGAUGACCAGAGCUUUUUCAGUUCCUGAACUCACCACUGCACUCUUUUUUUUACCAGAAUGUACCAAAACUGUUGAUUUGGCCAGUCCCAACAUUUCCCAACAUCUCUCUAAUGGAUUUCUUCUUUUUUAAGGCUAAUCUGUUUCAGUUAUAUAUACAGCAACUUUGACUGCAUCUUUGUAGAAAAAAAGCUUCAUAUGAUAUUUGAAUUAAAUACCAUUUGUUUCAUUUCAAAUCCAGUGUUGUGGCCUUCAGAUCCCAAACCAUGAAGAUCAUGUCACUGUCCUAAUAUUUUUGAACCUAACUGUACAUAUAAUAACUAUCAUACAGAAAUAAGUGUGUUCAAUAAAACAUCUUCAAAGCUCUCCUCAUAGAGUCUAGGAUUAUUACUUACUUAUUAAGAAUUUUACUACAAAUGUUUAUUUUUUUAUGUGUGUAUAUGGGACAUAUAUGGUCCAAAUUUGCUCUAUACACUUACCUUCUCUGGAGUCUGGACUGGACUUUUGCCUGUAAGACAAUAAAUUAUAUUUUAUUAAUUUUAUUAUUUCUCUUAAUAAAAGUAAUU